AAACGAACUGUCACAGUCCAUUUCAGGAUGGAUUUCAUUUUACCCACUUGUGUUGGUUCUCCUGAAGCUGGAGCAGGUGCUAUAUCAUAUUCUGAGCAGUUGUUAAACGCUUCUCCAAAAAGAUCCCUAUAUUGCAGAAUGAAGUUCUACUUAUCCCCUCACUUGUGCUGGACACUAGGUAAGGACCAAAAAAACUAAUUUUUCCCAAAUCUCUCUUUUUCUUCAUCAGUCCCACAGGUUGGACUUUAGGACUCCUGAAAUGAAUUUUGAUCAGUUAAACUGACAAACUGAAAUUAGAAGAAAAAAUUUCUUCUACAGCUCUGUUUUGAAAAAUGAUCAAUGGUAAAAUUCUCACUAUUUCCAGUGAUACAGGCUGGACCUUGAAAAGGAUAGAAUAUUCAUAUUUUACCUUUGUUUUCCUGUUGCAAUUCCCUAAUCUGUCUGUUUUCCUGCUGGAUACCCAUCACUAGAGUAGAACGAGGUCGAUGUCUUGCUACUUCAUUGAGCUCUUGGAUUUCUUCCUGGUACUGGUUAUUACAAAAACAAACCAACAAGGUACAGCAUAUUUGAUUAACCCAAGGCAGGUAUUACACAGCAGGUCACAAAGCACCAGUUCUACUGUCACUCACAGUCUAUAACCAGGAAGACAAUGCUUGUUUUUAAAUAACAGUAUCAAACACACACACCAGAAGGUGUUGCAGACAUCCUGUCCUUUAGAGGCACAAAAGCAUGACCUUAGAUGUGUGUAGUGGAUGCUAUUUAACCUUCAGUUAACGUAGGCCAAGUUCACCAUCAGGCAAUUUAAAACUCAUAGAGAUGUGGUAAAGACAAACCAUGAGGUAUUAACGUCCUAACAUUUACUGUGGCUUCCCAAAACCUUAAACCACAGGGCUGUGUGGGUACAAGUUACUUGGGCCCGCAUCAAUGAGUCCUGACUCCCGACAGAUGGGGAUAUGUCAUACUCUUGAUCUGAAGCCAUUAAGCCUCUGCAUGCCUAGUUUUACAAGACUGAAUUGCAUGCAGGAGGUUACAAGUUUAUAGGCCCAUUAACAUAUCUUGGGUUCAUUAAAGUGAGAGGAUGGACUCCCAUAUGGAAAGUCACAAGACACCUUUACGUUUUCCCAGGAGUUGUCUUGUUAAAGUCACACUCAAUCUAACAAUGUUCCUUGAGCAGCUCAACAUCAGAAUAGAAGUGAGUGCAAAAAAGCCCAAGAGGCUAUGUUGGAAACAAAAGGAGACAGUGCAAAAAGUACUCUGUACAGAAGAAAACACAUCAGAGCCUCUAAUUAAAUGGGCAUGCCAAAAUUAAUAAAAAUGUGUAGUAUUGCAUUGGAGAGCAAACCAAGAGACACCACAGAGUGGUUUGUAAGAUACCAAGCCCAUUUCUACCAGCGUUCUUCAAAUAAAUGCUUGUUUUCAAUAUUUAAACUAGAGUAACUGUGAAAAUGUUUUCACAGUCUCAAACUCUAUAAACAAGCUAUUUUUAGAUGAGAGCCACACCUCUACUAAAAACACCAAGUCUGCAUUACAGGCUUAACCCAACACCACACUCAUUCUGUGCUGCACAGAAGCCCCCAGAGGAUGUGCUGCCAUUGCCCGGAGCAAGCAGGGCUGGAGAGCAGACCUGUUUCAUGGCUUCCACCCGCCUGUUGAGCGCCGUGGUCUGUUUGAUGAGCGCCUCAGCUGCACUGUCAUGUUCCCUCAGCCGCUCUACCAGCGCCUUCGCGUCCGCCAGCGCCUUCUCAAUGGUGCAGCUCAUUUCUGAACAUGACAAAGGAAGUGUUAGCACCACAGCACCUCUGCACAGCACAGCUACCUGGGGCAUGGAUCAGCUGCCAGAGGCAGGGCACUGAGCACAGCAACUGUGGGCAGUGCUGGUGCUUCUGGCAGAAAGUAAAAGAAUGUUACAUGAACUCAUUCAUUUUUAAUGCUACUUUUUUUCAUGUGCCCUCCUAACAGAUAUGCUUCAGGAUAACUGAGGUAUAAAUCCAGCACAAAAGAGAAUGCUGAAGGAUUACAGUGGCCUGGAAGAUUCUGAUGACUUAAAUCAGCAGAGAAGGAGCAGCUCAAACUGACAGAGUAGAGAAAAUUGCUCAGGGAAAUUUCAGAAGAUGAAAGGCUUGUGUUUUGCUCAUGUCUAUAAAUGAACACAAACAUUGCUAUGUGGAAUGGAACUGUGACAUUUUCAACAGCACAGAGAAAGACAGCACCUCAGCUAAUGAAAAGAAGAAAUUGCACCCUUAAAACACCGCCGUUCUACCUGCAGCAUCUGUUCACAGGAA